CUUGCCAAUUAUUUCUACUUUUAGUGUGUGGUAUUCAUAUAUUAUUUAUCUUUAUACCCUUUUAUUGUUUUCAUAAUACAAAAAUACAAUUAAUUUAUACUUUAUUACUCUAUUUUUUAAUAAUUCCACAUAUUUCCUUAAUUUAUGUGCUAAAAAAAACGGAGGGUGUAGCUGGUAACCAAAAUCUUGAGGAAAAAUAUCAAACUUUGAGAAGAUUUUUCUUGGGUGACCUUAACUUUAACUUAUGUCGGUCAUUUUUUUUGGUUCAGAAGUUCCAUUAUAGCCACAUGUCGAAAAAUCUAAAAUGCAAUUAUUUGAUCUUAAGGCUGCUAGUGUCAAGUCUAGUCACUUAGUAACUUCUAGGCACCAAGACAAGUCCGUAGGGUUCCACCUUCGGGCGUAUAUCCUUUUAAAUUGAGAACAUAUUCUCCUAUAAAUAGCCUUUCAUUUGUGUUAGUUUGCAUAACAAAAUUACAUUAGUAUUUUAAUUAGUUAAAGUUCAUUGCGCAUAAUAUGAAACAGUCAAUGAAGCCCGUUGUUGCUUUUUUCCUUGUGUUCUUGAUUGUCCUGACAACAGAUGUUGGUACAAGAGUAGCUGAAGCAAGGACAUGUAUGACUCCAAGUCACCAGUUCAGGGGAAUAUGCGUUAGUAGUAGAAAUUGUGAAUCUGCUUGC